GGAGCAGGGGGAGUCGGACUGUGCCUCAGUGCGAGCGUGGGCAGGGAAAGGCCGCGGCGCGCAGGGGGCGGGCGCCGGGAUUCCAUGUCUCCUUGAGGCGCCGGCUUGGUUGUGCAGGGGCUGGGGGUGACCUGUAAAGGGGCGUUUCCUUCCUGCCAUGGAUGUAGCAGGGGCCUGAAGGUGCUUGCCCAGCCCGAGGCGCCCCGGGCGGCGGCCGCGCUAGCCCCGAGGAUCGUGCCCGUAGAGAGGCGGCCAUGGCCACGGCGGUGUCCUCCACCCCGGGAGGCAGCGGGCGAGCUCUCGGUCGCUCGGCCGCAUUCUCCCCGCUCAGCCCGACCCGGCUCAGCCGGCUGCAGGAGAAGGAGGAGCUGCAGCAGCUCAAUGACCGCCUGGCCGCCUACAUCGACCGGGUGCGGGCCCUGGAGGCCGAUAAAUCCACACUGCAGCUGCGGCUGGCGGAGCAGGAGGAAGGGAGCAGCCGGGAGCUGGGCAACCUGCGGCUCCGCUACGAGACCGAGCUGGCGGAUGCCCGCAAGGCGCUGGACUGCAUCGCCAUCGAGCGGGCCACGCUGCAGGUGGAGCUGGGCAAGCUCAGCGAGGAGCACCGGCAGCUGCACGCCAGGAAUUCUAAAAAAGAAGCUGACUUAAACCUGGCACAGGCUCGUAUAAGAGAUCUUGAUGCUCAGCUGAACUCCAAGGAGGCUGACUUAGCAACAGCUUUGAGUGGAAAAAGAAGUUUGGAGGGCGACCUUCAAGAGUUAAAGGAUCAAAUAGUCACUCUUAAGUUGGCAUUGGAAGAUACCAAAAAGCAUCUCCAUGGAGAAAUGUUGAAGAGAGUGGACCUGGAAAACCAAAUGAAAACUGUGCAGGAACAAAUGACAUUCCAGAAACGCCUUCAUGAAGAUGAGCUCAAGGAAACAAAAAGAUUCCAUGAGAGCAGGAUAGCGGAAAUAGAAUCUGGCCGUCAGAGGGAAUUUGAGAGCAAACUUUCAGAUGCUCUUCAAGGACUCAGAAAGGAGCAUGAAGAACAAAUUCAAGAAUACAAAGAUGACUUGGAGCGCACAUUCAGUGCCAAAAUGGAGAAUGCCCAACUUUCUGCCGCAAAAAAUAGCGACUUUGCCAAUGCUGCUCGGGAGGAGCUGAUGGAAACAAAGAUGAGAGUUGACACUUUGACAUCCCAGCUUAAUCAUUAUCAAAGCCAGAACUGUGCAUUGGAGAACAGAAUAAGAGAGUUACAGGAGACCCUGGAUUAUGACCGUGAGAUGCAUCGAAGACGUAUGGCUGAAAAAGAUAAAGAAAUGGCACAAACGCGGCGGCAGAUGCAAGCACAGUUGGAAGAAUAUGAACAUCUACUAGAUGUGAAACUGGCUCUAGAUCUGGAAAUAAAUGCCUACAGAAAGAUGCUGGAAGGAGAAGAACAGAGGCUAAAACUGUCAUCUAGUCCAUCUUCCCAAAGUGUUGCAACCCAGGCAACAACCAGCCAUGGGCAUCGCUUCCUGCAUGGAAAAAAGAGAAAACUGAAAGAAUCCAAAAAGGGAGAGCACAGUGUCAGCUUUAAAAUUGUUCAGCAUGCAUCAUGUUCAGGAAAUGUGUCUAUAGAAGAAAUUGACACAGAAGGGAAUUUUGUCAAGCUUAAAAACAACUCGGACGAGGAUCAAUCACUAAAUGGAUGGGUACUAAGACGACGACUUGGAAGCUUGUCUGAAAUAAUAUACAAAUUCCCUGCUCGGUUUGUUCUUCAAGCAGGCCAAGUAGUUACGAUCUGGGGUGCUGAUGCUGGUGUAAACCAGAGUCCUAGUGAUCUGGUCUGGAAAUCCCAGCAGUCUUGGGGAACUGGGGAUAACAUUGGUGUUACACUCAUCAAUGCUGAUGGAGAGGAGACUGCAGAACGGAAGGUCAUACAUGUAUCCAGAGGAGAAGAAGGUGGUGAACUGGAAGAUGAGUUUGAUGAAGAAGAAAUAACAGGGAGCGAAAUGGAGUUUCAUCGUCGGACCAAAAGAAGAAAAAAGAAAUGUUGUUUGGUGUCAUGAUUGUGUUUCCUGUGAGCAUCACAAAAUAGUUGUGAAGACUUCAAACAACUUUCAGUGUUCUGACUGUGGAAGUGCUGACUCCAAUAGGACAUCCCAGUUUGGCUGGAACAGUCAUGCAAGCCAGUAGACUAUACUCUAAGUGCUGCUUUAUACUAACUGUGAGAGGGAUUACCUAGGUAUCCCUCCCAACUUCAGAGCUCUUACCUUCCCAAAAAAGUCAAACAUUAGAAUAAAAUUGGCCUUUGGAGUUGCACCUUCUACUACAGGGAUCUAUUAUGGACUUCUGCAGCCAUGGGUCUUAAGGGUGUCUACAGUCUCUCGCAUCCUAGAAAAUGAUUGGCUGUACUUAACCAGUUCUUGCUCCAAGUCACACCUACAAGGGAUACAGGAGAUGCCACAUAGAAUGAACCAAUUGUCCCUCUUGUUCAAUAUAUAUCCAGGUGCUUUAGAAGGGAAAAUACCAGGCACCUAGCGAACUACAGUAGUAGGCUCUUGGAAGGAUAACUUCUUCCUGAUGUUAGUUGGUGACAACCUUACAGUGCAGAACUAAGUGUCUCCAGCAAAAUGAAGAUCCUAGCUGUUCUGUCAUGUAACUUAAACCAGGGUAGUGACUACCUAAAACUACUCCUUAAACCAAAGUGACCCUUCAGACUGCAUGAGUUUUCAGCAAUUUCUGGAACAUGUGAAUCUUGGAUUUUUUUUCCCCUAUCUGACCUGUUUGGAGAAAGCAUCCUCCAGAAUGUGAAACUUCCUAUUUGUUGAUAUUGGGCCCUGCCUUCAAUGAAACUAGAUCCAAGUGCACAUUUCCUUUUCCAAGUCUUUCCAUGACAAAUAGAAGUAUUGUGAUUUAUUCACCCACAACUACUUGCCCUAAAGUUUACAGUAACUUCCCGCUGGGCAUGUCUCGUCCUAGCUAGGGGUGGUAAAUGAUCACAAAUUUAAUGGCUUCAGCUUUCUGAACUCGUGAUUUAUUCAAAAUAUUUUCUCAAAAGUGGACUUAGAAGAACUGUUUCAAGCCUGACCGAAAUUUAGGUGGACCAGAUACUGCCUCAACUUCUACCUUGUGCAGCUCCACUGAAUUGAAAGUCAGAGCAAAUUGUUAUCCUUGUUUCAAACACCCCAGGACUCAUUUUAUGUUUGAGGCUGAUACUAAAGUUCCCUUGAUUGGUCUAAGCCAAAUGAUGUAGUAAUCUACUGGUGUAAAGUUUUAAAAUGAGCAAGCUAUUUGUAAAACAUGUAUUUUUAACUUGUAGUUAAAUAAACCAACCAUUAUACUGUUUCUAUAGCCUAGUACCGGUUAGACAUUGAGUUUAUUUAUUAAACUAUGUACAGUAAAGUGUUUGAAACUUUGAGGUGAGUAGCUUUGCACUAUAAAUGUGAACUAAAGUCUGAUGCCAACAUAGCAAUACUGUGGUUAAAUACAGCAGUACCCAAGUUAACUGCUUACUUGGCAAAACAUUAAUGGGGACCGAACUAAUUUAAUUAGUUUGGUAUAGCUAAUGAUCACACACUCCAAUGAUUGUUAAGUCUUGAUACCUUUUAAAGAAAGUUCCUGUGUUUAUUAAACAUCUGAAAUAAGGAUGUGUACUCCUGUAUUCAUAGUUGAGGUGAGGACAACUUCUAUUUUGUUAAAUAGCUAGAUAUAUUCUCUAUUACAGCACUGAGUUCAAGUGGAUUAAUAUAUAGCAUUGUAACAAGGUACAGCUAAAAUGUCUAGCACAUAGAGGGGUUGGUCAUGAGUAGCCACUCCAGUUAGCCAUUGUAAUGGGGUUUUUUGUUUACCUAGUGGCUAUACUGAAAAGAGGGGAAAUAACCCAGCAAGAGUCCCUAGUUAAGCAACACAAGUCUGUUUCCAUGCUAAAAAGUUAACUGAUAAUACAGCCCCAUCUGAGCACUGGAGCAGCUUUCAGAAUUCUUUGUUGCCUUGCCAAAAGUCUCUACUGUAUCGUAUGUCUGAAUUUUAAGAUCUGGCCCAUGUUAGGACCGUGCUUUUUAGAGUGCUUUAGAGUUCCCUUCACUUAAACUGAUUAAAAAAAUAUAGCAUUUUAAGACACUGGACACCUAAAGGGUGAGUGAAUUUGGCCUUUCUUAUUUUAGCAGACCCAAAUUCUUCAUUCUGUUGCACCUUGUCACUUUAGAAGAAUUUAAAAUAAGCUCUGUUUAUGAUCUUGCUGUGUUUAUAAUCUUGGGCUGUUCAAUUGAUUUUUACUAUUAAAGAUAUUUUCUAUGUACAUUA